rnacentral:rRNA from 1 species
AUUGAACGCUGGCGGCAGGCUUAACACAUGCAAGUCGAACGGUAACAGGAGAAAGCUUGCUUUCUUGCUGACGAGUGGCGGACGGGUGAGUAAUGCUUGGGAAUCUGGCUUAUGGAGGGGGAUAACGACGGGAAACUGUCGCUAAUACCGCGUAGAGUCGAGAGACGAAAGUGCGGGACCGCAAGGCCGCAUGCCAUAGGAUGAGCCCAAGUGGGAUUAGGUAGUUGGUGGGGUAAUAGCCUACCAAGCCGACGAUCUCUAGCUGGUCUGAGAGGAUGACCAGCCACACCGGGACUGAGACACGGCCCGGACUCCUACGGGAGGCAGCAGUGGGGAAUAUUGCGCAAUGGGGGCAACCCUGACGCAGCCAUGCCGCGUGAAUGAAGAAGGCCUUCGGGUUGUAAAGUUCUUUCGGUAUUGAGGAAGGUUGUUGUGUUAAUAGCACGACAAAUUGACGUUAAAUACAGAAGAAGCACCGGCUAACUCCGUGCCAGCAGCCGCGGUAAUACGGAGGGUGCGAGCGUUAAUCGGAAUAACUGGGCGUAAAGGGCACGCAGGCGGACUUUUAAGUGAGGUGUGAAAUCCCCGGGCUUAACCUGGGAAUUGCAUUUCAGACUGGGAGUCUAGAGUACUUUAGGGAGGGGUAGAAUUCCACGUGUAGCGGUGAAAUGCGUAGAGAUGUGGAGGAAUACCGAAGGCGAAGGCAGCCCCUUGGGAAUGUACUGACGCUCAUGUGCGAAAGCGUGGGGAGCAAACAGGAUUAGAUACCCUGGUAGUCCACGCUGUAAACGCUGUCGAUUUGGGGAUUGGGCCUUGAGCUUGGUGCCCGAAGCUAACGUGAUAAAUCGACCGCCUGGGGAGUACGGCCGCAAGGUUAAAACUCAAAUGAAUUGACGGGGGCCCGCACAAGCGGUGGAGCAUGUGGUUUAAUUCGAUGCAACGCGAAGAACCUUACCUACUCUUG